rnacentral:rRNA from 1 species
UACGUAGGGCGCAAGCGUUGUCCGGAAUUAUUGGGCGUAAAGAGCUCGUAGGCGGUUUGUCGCGUCUGCUGUGAAAACCUAAGGCUCAACCUUGGGCUUGCAGUGGGUACGGGCAGACUAGAGUGCGGUAGGGGUGACUGGAAUUCCUGGUGUAGCGGUGGAAUGCGCAGAUAUCAGGAGGAACACCGAUGGCGAAGGCAGGUCACUGGGCCGC